ACACCCCAUGGCUGAUGUGCUUUGCCUUCCCCAGGAAGAGCUCGGCAGGGCCCGUGGCCAAGGCAGCCUCCAGCCUGCCCAGCUGCACUGGCAGUGACUCCAAGCAGAUGAAGAGAGUGGAGAUGAGCAGGACCCCGUGUGUGCCACCCAUGGGCACGAAGCAAGACAAGCUGCUGGGGAAGGGGCUGCCAGCCCCAGGUGAUGUUGGAGUCUCUGUUGCCCGCAGCACUCCUGGGAUGGGGUCAAAGCUCACAAACGGAAUUGCUCUGUCCAAGCUGCCCCACAAAGCCACCCAUGAGGCCACACCACUGCCCCAUGAGGCAGUCCAGAAGCCCAAGAAGCCACAGACCCCUGGCAUGCCCAGAGCAGGCAUCCAUGUCACCAGCACCAUGAAUGGGGCCAAAGCUGGGCUGCCCACACAGCACUCAGACAAGAAGCCUACCUCAUCCAACCUGCCAAAGUCCAGUCAGGAGCCCGGUGGCUGUGGGGUGAUGGCCAGGACCCUGAAGAAGGAUUCCCAUGGCAGUGUAGUAGGGCAGCUGGCCAAGGAGACCAACAUGGCCAAGAGCAAUUUCAGCAGCUCCUGCACCUCUCAGAGAAGGGAGUCUGGCACCCACCUCCCUGCUGGCUCUGGCACCAAGCUGACAGUUCCCAAAGACUGUGACCCAGCUGCCCCCAAAAGCUCCAGGACAGCCACUGUGACCCCCUCCCUGCAGGGCAGUGCUGCACAGGAGCGGGGCAGCCCCACAUCAGCACUGCUGGCCAAGACACCAGUGCUCUCAGCCAAAAAGGGCAAACCCUUGCAGAAGGUGAGCAGGAGUGACCACCAAGCACAGUCCCAGCCUUCAGACACCACCCAUCCUGACGCCACUGCCAGGCCACUGGGCAAGUCC
rnacentral:lncRNA from 1 species